AAACCUGAGAAACCCGAAAGAUCGAAUGGGGAGAUUCAUCGUCAGCGAUUCCGGUACGUGUGCGGCUCGCGAUGUCCGAGACUUCGGUCUCGCGACACGCGUCCGCAUGUUUUUUAUUGCUGGAAUCGUCGGCGUGCACUUCUCCCCUAGUAGGACGUCGCGACCCGUUGGGUGUCGGUCUACGGCACGGUAGGGCAGCCUGUCACGCGUGCGCUUCACGGCGUUACGCGGGGCAGACCUCCGUUCGCCCGACCGACUGCUCGGCGGUACUCGCAUGGUAUCUGGCCGCAGACAUACGAACUGCGUCCGGCCCGUCGCAAGCGCGGCAAGUGUUUCCCGGCUGUACGGAUCUAAUGCCGUCACCGGGCCUUGCCAGCUGUUGGUUGACGGUGUCCUAGGACUGGCUAACAGAUACCGGUCGGCGACGCUACUGCUUUGGGUACUUUCAGGACCCGUCUUGAAACACGGACCAAGGAGUCUAACAUGUGCGCGAGUCAUUGGGAGCUAUUAAGCCUAAAGGCGCAAUGAAAGUGAAGAUCGGCCUCGCGCCGAUCGAGGGAGGAUGGGCCGCGUCACGAUGCGGUCCCGCACUCCCGGGGCGUCUCGUUCUCAU
rnacentral:rRNA from 1 species